UAUCUCUUGCAUUCCCCCAUGAAAGUAAACAAAACAAAGCAAGCAAGUAGACAAAAAAGCAAGAACAAAACAAAAAAGAAAAGAAAGAAGUCGAUUAAACCAAAACAAAACAAAAAAAACCCCACACUAGAAACAGCAAAAUCUCCGCGUCUCCUUUUCUCCUGCCUCUCCAUCAUCUCUUCAUCUGUCUUGAUGGCACUGGAUGCUUCUGUGGGUCAUAUAGUAUACCCCUUUGUCCCAUCAGCUUGACUGGCAACUGUCCAUUGCAAUGAGUCAUUGGUCUGGUUCAAGGCCUCUGGUUUUUGGUACACCAUCCUCAAUGGAUCUUCACCCAAGCUCUUCUGGAGUAUCCUGUGUUUUGGAGAUCUUUCAGAUGGCAGCAGGAGAAACAGACAUCAGCGCAGACCCUGGCUGCAGCUGGGACAUGGACCCUGACAUGGCCCUCAGCUGCAGCAUGGCUCAUGAACCCCAUCUUGGCCCCAGGAGGCAGCCCAGUCCCCUGGAGUCAGCAUGACACCCAAUGCCAGCAGGAGCCACAGAUAUCAACACAGACCCUGGCUACUAUAGGACCAGACUACAUAUGGCCCUUGGUUGCAGCCUGAUCCUGACAUCACCAUGGCAAGCAGACCCCCCUCCUCAGUUUACUCCUCACCACCACCACCAUGGACUCAGGAGACGAAAAGCUAUGGAUACCACUGAGAUUCAUAAAGAUUAGAUUUGAGCAGGAAAGUCCUUCUGAAUAAGGAGAAGCAAUGGUUCAUCAGACAGUUUGGCCAUUCAAUCCGGACGAUCUUAUAAAGACUAACAAUAGCCUUUCAUUUGAUCAGGUGAAAAAAAUAAAAAUCUAUAGCCCAGGCUGGCCUGGAACUUUGAUCCUCCUGCCUGUACCUCUUUCAGCAAAUCUUACCAGUGUGCCCCACCACACAGGGGUCAAGACCAUGCUAGAAAAACCCACAGAAACAACUGAUCUGAACAAGUGGGAGCUCACAGACCCCAG